GACGAACGCUGGCGGCGUGCUUAACACAUGCAAGUCGAACGGAAAGGCCCUGCUUUUGUGGGGUGCUCGAGUGGCGAACGGGUGAGUAACACGUGAGUAACCUGCCCUUGACUUUGGGAUAACUUCAGGAAACUGGGGCUAAUACCGGAUAUGAUCUCCUGCUGCAUGGUGGUGGUUGGAAAGUUUCGGCGGUUGGAGAUGGACUCGCGGCUUAUCAGCUUGUUGGUGGGGUAGUGGCUUACCAAGGCUUUGACGGGUAGCCGGCCUGAGAGGGUGAACGGCCACAUUGGGACUGAGAUACGGACCAGACUCCUACGGGAGGCAGCAGUGGGGAAUAUUGCACAAUGGGCGGAAGCCUGAUGCAGAAACGCCGCGUGCGGGAUGACGGCCUUCGGGUUGUAAACCGCUUUCGCCUGUGACGAAGCGUGAGUGACGGUAAUGGGUAAAGAAGCACCGGCUAACUACGUG
rnacentral:rRNA from 1 species